rnacentral:lncRNA from 1 species
UUUUAGUCUUGUUCAUUUUAUCUGGUCGAGUUCGGUCUGAAGCAGUUUAGCAAGAAUUAAAUUUAAAUAACAUUGGGCUCGAGGACAAGUCAACGAUCAUGACCCACCUCAAAUCCAAAGCCAAUUUCCAACCAAUCCCAUUCCUUUCCCGCGACCACUAUCCAAGCCAAUCCAAGCUUCCCAGGUGAAUCCUCAUGCGAUCCAUCAUCCCC